rnacentral:rRNA from 1 species
UACGGAGGGGGUUAGCGUUGUCCGGAAUUAUUGGGCGUAAAGAGCUCGUAGGCGGUUUGUCGCGUCUGCUGUGAAAACCCGAGGCUCAACCUCGGGCCUGCAGUGGGUACGGGCAGACUAGAGUGCGGUAGGGGAGAUUGGAAUUCCUGGUGUAGCGGUGGAAUGCGCAGAUAUCAGGAGGAACACCAAUGGCGAAGGCAGAUCUCUGGGCCGUAACUGACGCUGAGGAGCGAAAGCAUGGGGAGCGAACAGG